GGAAUUGACGGGGGCCCGCACAAGCGGUGGAGCAUGUGGUUUAAUUCGAUGAUACGCGAGGAACCUUACCUGGGCUCAAAUGUAUGUUGACGUAUUCUGAAAGGGAUACUUCUUCGGACAAUAUACAAGGUGCUGCAUGGUUGUCGUCAGCUCGUGCCGUGAGGUGUCGGGUUAAGUCCCAUAACGAGCGCAACCCCUAUCAUUAGUUGCCAUCAGGUCAAGCUGGGGACUCUAAUGAAACUGCCUACGCAAGUAGUGAGGAAGGUGGGGAUGACGUCAAAUCAGCACGGCCCUUACGUCCAGGGCUACACACGUGCUACAAUGGCCGGUACAAAGGGCAGCUACCUGGUGACAGGAUGCUAAUCUCAAAAGCCGGUCUCAGUUCGGAUCGGAGUCUGCAACCCGGCUCCGUGAAGCUGGAAUCGCUAGUAAUCGCGCAUCAGCCAUGGCGCGGUGAAUACGUUCCCGGGCCUU
rnacentral:rRNA from 1 species